GGACCUGACUGCUAUCGGAUUGAUACUAAGCCAUGCGAGUCAUUGUAGCAAUACAGGGCAUACGGCUCAGUAACGCGUAGUCAACCUAACCUAUGGACGGGAAUAACCUCGGGAAACUGAGAAUAAUGCCCGAUAGAACAUUAUACCUGGAAUGGUUUAUGUUCCAAAUGAUUUAUCGCCGUAGGAUGGGACUGCGGCCUAUCAGUUUGUUGGUGAGGUAAUGGCCCACCAAGACUAUUACAGGUACGGGCUCUGAGAGGAGUAGCCCGGAGAUGGGUACUGAGACACGGACCCAGGCCCUAUGGGGCGCAGCAGGCGAGAAAACUUUGCAAUGUGCGAAAGCACGACAAGGUUAAUCCGAGUGAUUUCUGCUAAAGAAAUCUUUUGUUAGUCCUAGAAACACUAACGAAUAAGGGGUGGGCAAGUUCUGGUGU
rnacentral:rRNA from 1 species